rnacentral:tRNA from 1 species
GUCACGGAAGUGCAAUUGAUAGCACAACAGACUGUACAUUUGUAAAUGCAGGUUCAAAUCCAUCCUGAGGUU